rnacentral:rRNA from 1 species
GAAGGGGGGCUAGCGUUGCUCGGAAUCACUGGGCGUAAAGGGCGCGUAGGCGGCGUUUUAAGUCGGGGGGUGAAAGCCUGUGGCUCAACCACAGAAUGGCCUUCGAUACUGGGACGCUUGAGUAUGGUAGAGGUUGGUGGAACUGCGAGUGUAGAGGUGAAAUUCGUAGAUAUUCGCAAGAACACCGGUGGCGAAGGCGGCCAACUGGACCAUUACUGACGCUGAGGCGCGAAAGCGUGGGGAGCAAACAGGGAUUAGAUACCCUGGUAGUCCACGCCGUAAACGAUGAAUGCCCAGCUGUUGGGGUGCUUGCACCCGCAGUAGCGCAGCUAACGCUUUGAGCAUUCCCGCCUGGGGAGUACGGUCGCAAGAUUA